rnacentral:lncRNA from 1 species
CAUAACCUUGCCAUACCGAUAAAAUUGUAUGAAAUGAACGUUUAGUUAAUAGAGAUAAUAGAAAAUUGAAAAACCUGCAUUAGACAUAUAUUUUUUUGCUGUUGUAGCGAUUAUGAGAAAAGGGUUGCUUUACCACGUUGGCUGUGUAUCUGUGAAAUGGCUUUGUUAUAAAUAAACAAGCAAUUUAGUAACAGAGAUGUAGAUAUUUUGGAUAUCUUUUUUAUUUUGAUUAAAUCGUGAAUAUGCGAUUCAUGGCAUAUACUCAGAGUAUGAGAAACGGCAGUAUUGGUGUGCAACACAAAACUGUCUUGAAAGUUUUUUUGUCUCUUUCAUUUUGUUCAAUUUCUUUAACAAUUACACUUAACAUUUGACGGACAAUACUUGUGUAUUGGGUCGAUGACUGUCUUCAUUGCUUGGUGUAUCCGGCGGUAAACAAAAUGGCAAACAUUUCUACUUUGCCCACAAAUAUAUAGCUUCAUGUGGUUGAUAAUGAUUAUUUCAGCACUGAAAAUAAGAGGUUGAUAUACAAUGAAUGUGUUAUUCAUAAACUACACACGGUUAUUAAUGCCUUCUACUCCAAAUGAUUGCAUCGAUGGUUUCUGGACUGACUUAACAUACAAAAAUUUAUUGUCAUCAAUGUUAUCAUGUGUAGCAAUUGAUUGGGAUCUCUGCAAUUUCAAAUUCAGAAGAGAGAUCAGUAUUGUUGAUGGGUUUUUUGGAAACAUGCCAGUUUCUGAAUUCUUCUUCUUGGAUGUCAGGAAUAUGCAAAAGAAUUUGAGCUGCCGUUAUAUGUAAACAAUGUUGCACGACAAAACUGAACCACGGCAGCCCACUCAACGCUUGCAUCAGCGAUCGUGCCUUGUCGGACCAUUGCUUGCAAAACCUUGAACACAAUCCGAUAUAGUGUAUUGAUUUUAAGAAUAAAUUUAACUGCUCAACCGACAUUCCAUGAGCUUUGAACAAUUGAUUAAUUGUGGAAAUAGGAAAUGAAAACGUUUCAAUGUACAAACAGGGGGCAGAUAGGACUUUUAUCAUAUAAAGAAACUGAUCUAUGUUUUGAGGGCAUGGGUAAUUGGAUCUGUACAGUUCCUCUGGGACCAAUAGAGAGUGUUCUCCCUUAGUUAUUUUAUUUUCUAAUUCGUCCUCCGAGCUUUCUAUUCCGAUUUGGGCGCUGGGCGAGUGAUUUUCGGUAUCAUCCUUUGCAUAAGUAUUUGCCAUGUAAAGCAUAGACCGCAUUGCUGAAAGAUUCUCCUUUUUCAGUUCGCAUUGCUGUCCACACAAUUGGCAAUUGUCGUGCACUUUCUUCCACCAGAUCUUGCCACGAAUUAUAUUAGGGUAUUGUUUUCGCAAUCCUACAGGUAAUUGCUGAGAAGAAGCAACUCUAAGGUGUCUUAACUGCCAUGUUUCUGCACAUUCUCUGUAAAUGUAAUACACUUCCUUUAAUCUAUGAAGAGAUUUUUGGAUGUAUGUAUUGUUUGGGUCCAGUUCAAGUGAAUGCUCCCAAUCACGAUUGGCUAAGUGAGGAUGUCCAAGUCGCAAAUAAGCUAGUCCUCUCCUCCAUAUCACUUUUUUAUCAUACGGAUUGAUGACUAGAGCAUAUGUACAGUCAUGAACUACUUUAGUAUAGCUGCAUGCAAAAUAAGUUAGUUAGCAUAAAAGCAAAACUGCUGCAAAGGUUCAGACGAUGUUUUUUUUUCUUUCGAGAAACCCCGUUAAUAAUCCAAAGGAUUCUCUGAACCUUUGUGACAUAGGUAAUUUGUUAAAUUUAUUAUGUUACAUACGAUUUUUUGCGCAAAUGAGUUAAUGAGCUAUCGGCGUAAACCGGUGUAAUGGUGUUUUCAUUUCCAAUUGCAUUAAGGAAUUCAUCAAAAACAUCUAUUUCUCGUGUGUUCUGUUUAUUGAGGGUUAGAAACGUUACAAACAUCUUCUGGUAAUCAAAGUAGAGCAUACCUCUAGUGCAACAUAAUUGCUUUUUUCCACCAAGUUUACGUUCUCCUUUUCUUCCAUUGCGAUUUUGAAUGCAGAUGGUUCAAAUCAGAUGGAAUGUCAAUCUAUUUGUUUAUGUGGUAGAACAAUAUUGGAAUGUAUGUGUGAAGGCAUAUCAUAACCAUGUGCACUUUUGUAAACAAACAAUAACUAAAAUUAUAUUUUAAGCGAUAAAAAAU